GCUGGGUGUGGUGGUGCAUGCCUGUAAUCCCAGCUACUUGGGAGGCUGAGGCAGGAGAAUCACUUGAACCCAGGAGGCAGAGGUUGCAGUGAGCAAAGAUCAUGCCACUGGACUCCAGCCUGGGUGACUGAGAGAGACUCUGUCUCAA
rfam:Gorilla gorilla gorilla genomic chromosome, chr9, whole genome shotgun sequence